UUAAAAAAAAAAAAAAAAAACACGAAAACCACGAAGAAGAGAGCCACCGUUCCUUUCUUCCUUCCCUUUUUUUUCUUUCUUCCAUACAUUUUUUUUUUCUGUCAACACAUUCUAAAAUAUAUUUUCUGUAUAGGGCCUUGCGAAAUUUGCUGGGCGUGGGUUUGGGUGGGUUCCAGCAAUGCCUCUGUUGAAGAAAAAGCCGUUCACUUUGUUGGAACCACCCAAGGAUUUGAAGCCUCAUGAACUUGUAUAUCAAGUUCGCUUCACGAAGGAGAUAUUUCGGGAUUAUCAGAUGUAUUUGAACCGAACAAAUUUAUAUCGGCAGAGAACUUGGAGUUGCAAAAUUAGUGGAAAAGCUAACUUGACUUUUGAAGAGGCUUUGGUGUCUGAAAAGCAUGUGGCAGAGAAGGUUCAAGAGAUACCCAAAGUGCUUGUGGCACCUGCAUUGCAUAUUAUACAAUAUAGUAUGCUUUCAUUGAAAGAUCUUGCAGACACUAUAGCAACAAAGCUGCAAGAAAAUUUGUUUGUAGGUGCAGAAUUGCAUGGAGAAAGAGGUGGUGGUCUCUGUCCUUGCAAGAUAGUAAAGGUGCUGGACGAGGGUACUGUUAAAACCCAAUAUGAGGUAGCAUGGCUUGAUAAGGAUAAUAAAAUAUUGGAAACUUCGGUUGCAAAAAGAGAUGAUUUAAUAUGGAAGAAGUUUCCUUUUAGUAGAAGCAUUUUGAAGUCUUUUAUUCGUGAGUCAACAUACCGAAGUGCUCCUUGGGUGCUUCAUAACAAUUUGGCACAGAAGCAUGGAAUCUCAUGUGACCCACCGCCAGAGUUAAAAGGCAAAGUUUUCAUAGUGGAUGGACGAGUGAUCUCCAAUAAGAAAAGAAAAGAUAUAGAAGAUAGAAAAAAUGAAGCGGAUGUAGAUAAGGAAUAUGGAAAACAUAAAAAGAAGAAAGUGGAGGGUGAGGAAGUUGAAGCAACAAGCAAGGAAAGAAAUGGUAAGAGUGGUGGAUUUCGGCUAUUAUAAUGCCUGUUCAAAUUUUGUCUGCCGCUUGACUUUUGUUCUGCAGUGUACCUGUUACAUUCUUCUCUGCCUAAGAUUUUUUGUCCAAGCAUUCUUUUGUUCAUCCAAUCUUCUAUUUGUGCAAGCGAUUUGACUAAACUUGCUCCUGUGACAUGAGUUGACUAAACACCAUGUAGGGUCAUGAGUCUCUAAUAAAUGGUUAUUUGUACGUAUUUACUAUUUUUUGAACUUGCAGAAGACAAUCAACCAUUGCGAGAUCCCAUCACAUAUCCCAUCGAUGAUCUGUUGGUGCAGCCUGGGGCAGAUGAUCCAGUCUUCACUGACCGUCCUUCCCCUUCAAGAGACUUUAACAUUCAGAUGGAUUGUGUUGGUGAUCUUUUAAUGGUUUGGGAUUUUUGCUCCUCUUUUGGUAGGAUGUUGCACUUAUGGCUGUUCUCUCUUGAAGAUUUUGAAAAUGCUAUCCGCCAUAAGGAUAGUAAUUUGAUUCUUAUUUUUGAAACACAUUCUGCUCUUCUGCGGCUACUUAUAAAAGACAAUAGUGAAUAUUUUUCAGCUGUACCGAAAAGAAACCAGAAGUUCAAGAUAACAUUAAUUAAUUGGACAGAGUAUUUGUGUGAUUUCAUAGAAAAGAUCAAUAUUCCUGAUCUAUCCACAAAUGUAUCGACAAUUAAGCGUGGGCACUAUGGUCUCUUAGAUGUUAAAGCUAAAUUGUGGAUCCUUCGAGAAUUGGUUAAUCAAGUCCUUGAAACAGAUCUUGUCAGGGAAAAGUUGGAUAAUCAUAUUGAACAGAGACAGAUGCUUGGAGCCAUAAGGAGGGGGGAAGCACUGGAGGAAGGUAGAAAAAGAAGACAAGAAAAGGACAAAUUUAAAGUUGAUUCUGUUGAUGAUAAAGUGAUGAAUGGAGAAAGUAUGGAAAGUGCAGGAAACAAUCCAAAUGCAUUGGCAAAUGAGAACCAUCAUAACGAAAAUGGAGAGAUCGCAGAGAAAAGAAAGGGGGAGUCCAUUUCAGCUCCAGAAAAACAUGCAUCGUAUAAAAGUGAGAGCUGCCACUCAGACAUUGCACCAAAGAAAAUGAAGCAAAAUAUGGGUUUGGAAGUCUUGGAAGAAAAUACAAAAAAUUCAUCUAGCAAAAUGGGAGCUAAACAGUUGAAGAAUGAGAAGAAGGAAACAGUAGAAAGGAGAAGCAAAGAGCAAAGGGACGAAUAUUAUGAACGGGAGAUGGAGAAACUAGUCUUACGCACCAAUUCAUUGGGUAAAGACAGACACUACAAUAGGUAUUGGUGGUUCCGACGUGAUGGGAGGAUCUUUGUUGAGAGUUCUGACUCCAAGCUAUGGGGCUAUUAUUGUUGCAAGGAAGAGCUUGAUGUAUUGAUGGGUUCAUUGAACCGUAAGGGUGAGAGAGAGAAGGCUCUUCAUAAACAGCUGAAGAAAUUCUACAGCAGAAUAUGCUUAGAACUACAGAAGAGAUCAAAAGAUUUGGCUCACAAGAUCGCAUUGGAGGAGGCGGUGCUUCGGAGAUCUACUCGUGUACGAGCUCUGCCAAGGGAAAAUCCUACUAAUGCUUUCCUUGGGUAUGUUAACAAGUGGAAGGAAGACUAGCUAGUAGGUCCCGUCAUCUCGUUUUAGGCAGAUCUCAUACACAUCUCUUUUAGGCUCACUGGAAAUAGGAAUUUUUCGGUGACUAAGUUUGCUGAUUCAUUAUUUUGUUGGUGGGAAUUUGGGGGUUUUGAAGUGGCCACCAAGAGGAACAUGGAUGAAAAGGUUUUGAUUUUAUAAUCCAUGUUAUAACUAUGCCUCAAUUUUUGUAAUUGACCUUGUUCAACAUUUUAGAAUUUACAUGGUUUAUGUUUAUGUUCUUUAUUCAUUUUGAAUGAGAUUAUGCAAACUUGAUUGGCUAUGUUAGUAUAAAAGGGAUCUUGAUGAAACAAAAU
rnacentral:misc_RNA from 1 species